CCAUGAGCCACCAUCGAGCUACCGGAGGAGAGAGAGAGGGGAUGAGGUUCCUGAAGUUAUGGAAUGUUGUUGGUGUUGGAGCCAGAAGGGGUCAAAUAAACAGACUUUAUAAUAAAGUCAAGCAGGGGGAACCACAAAGGACAGUGAAUUCCCACAAGAAACUAGCAACAAUGGCCUGUCACCCAAGCUUCUUCCUGUUCUCAUUCAUCAGAAGCAGGAGCGCUGUGGAUGGUGGAAAGACACAGACUUUGGAAUGCAGCCUGGGCUUUCAGCUCACCUCUGCAUCUUUCUAACAUGUGUGCAAUGGACAUGGAUUGUGUCUGUCUCCUUCUUUUGUGAAUGGAACUCAUAU